UUUGGAUACUGAUGACGAUUUAAGUCACUCUUCUUCUGUGCGCAAUUUGAAAUAAGGUCGUUUUUCUUUUUUCCUCUAUUCAAAGUUUACAUUCUGAGGGGUUCCCGUUUCCAUCUUCGUGAUCUUCUUGUGAUUCACUGCAUCGUGUCGCUACAUCUGUGAUAGUGUGAGUUGCAACCUGUCUGUUUUCUUUGUUUGAUCAUUGUAUGUAUUAAAAAAGUUUACAUUUCAUUCUAGAUAAGCUCUUUGUAUGUAUUAAAAAAAUUUUAUUCUCAAUAUAUAUGACUCAAUGAGAGGUCUUUUAUUAUAUAUAUGUCAUGAAUUUCUAUUGUAUUUUGAGAUUUGAUGGUGUAUUAUUGUCUCAUUGCAAGGUCUUGUAAUCACUCUGAUUCUCAUUUGAGGAGGUUGGUCUCGUCUAUGUGUAUGUAUUUAUAUCCACAAGAAAUUUGAUAAAUGGUCUUGUCGUUUUCUCAUUAAAACAUCUAGUGCUUCAUGGGUUGGAGGGCUACUAGGCAUCAGGGCCAGAUCUUUAAACUCAAAGUUCUUCGUGUCAUUUACCCAUUUGAUUAUCAAAUAGUCAUAAAAGCAUAUAAAUUCAAGUUAGUGUAUCAUUUUUACACAAUAUACUAAAACUAACACAAGAACUUGGCCGACAUUUUCAGUUGAAUAACUCAGACCCCCGAACUUCCUCGGGCUGACAUCCCAAAGUGAAAAUGUCUAAAAAAAUAGUUGCAACAUUUACCCAUUUGAUUAUGAUUCAAAAAAAAACACAAACGGAGAAAUUAUUGGGAUUGUUAAGAUAGUUAAAAUGGUUAGUUAUUGUUUCAGUUUGUUAAGCAAGAUAGGUAGAGUUACUGACGUGUUAGCUGAGCUGGCAUAAGUUAUUCAACUCUCAGGUGCUUAGAAACCUUGUAUAAAUACAUUUGUAAUCAGCUAAAGAAUGGAUGAUUCAGAUUUAUUCAUCAAAUCCAGCUCUUAGAUGAUCUCUGUUCUUUCUUUCAUUUUCUCUCAUUUUCUUACUUAUCAAACAGAUUAGAAACUUUAACUUGGUAUCAGAGCCUGAAAGGUUUGGUAGUUGUUCUGUUUUAUCUUCAGUUUCAUUUUGUGAUCACAGAAACGUUAGGACUUGCUUGCAUGAACGCACAUUAAACCACGGAAAUUUUGUCAGACAUGCACGCAAAUGAAAUUUUAUCAGCAGUCUUGUAAUUUUCUAUUUUUGUUGUUGUCGUCAUUUUUUUACUACUAGUACUGUUUGAAAUUCUAGUAUUUUGGAUGUGAAAUUUAUUAUAUUAUGAUAGGUCCCAGUCAGAAUUAGCGGAAACAACAAGUAAAUAAUUUGUUCUUCUUAGGGUAAGAACUACCGCAAUUGCUAAUUGAAUUAGAUAAAAGUCUGAUAUCUUUUUAUUGAAUUAUUCGAGUCUAUUUAUAGAACAAAAUUAAUGAAAUAAAGUAGUUAAAAUCAAUUAAACCACUUAGCUAUAAUUUCGAAGUAAAUAAUAAUCUUAAAGGAAUCAUGAUUAAAUCUGAAUUCUUCAUCAAUACGGCUUGACUUAGUAAGCUUUCCGUUGAUUUUGUGAAGAGUCCUUGAAGGAACGUGAUGCCCACCUCAUGCAUGGCUUGCAUGUUACUUGCAUGUGCCCAUACAUUUUCGUUAUUGGCUUGCAUGGUUGCUUGCAUGUGCCCAUGCAUAUUCGUCAUAUUUGUUGUUGGGUUUUGCUUCUCACUUGGACUUGCGUAUACUCUUAUCAUAUUAGAUAUUCGACAUAUAUAUGAUGCUGAAUACAGGGUAUGUGUUGUCUAAAUUUAUUUUAUUUUGUUUGCUUCACAUCCAAUUUUCAAAAGCUUUGAAGAAUGCUAAGAGAAGGAGCAAAGGGCUAAAGAGUCAAAUGUAACAUUGCUAUUAAUUUGUUAAUUGCCAUCAUUUUUAAUUUUUGCCCUGCUUGUUCUGUUUACUCAUUUAUUUCACUUGGUUUUGCUCCACGUCUAUCUUUCCUAACUUAGGAAGGCAAGGAUUUUGAAAGUUCUGAAGAAGAUUCAGGUCACUCGUGUGAAUAAGAGCUGUGUUACUGUUUAAAAGUUUUCAUGCUCUGGAAUAAAAUUUGCUUUACUGUGUUACUGGUCAACUUCAUUAUUCUACUAAUGCUUUACUUCAUCUUCAUUGUAUCACUACAUUGACAGCGUUGACAGUGUAAGAGUCGUUUUCACGAUUUUUAAGAAAUUUUGAUCACAUUAAACUUUUGAUCUGAGUUCAUAACAAAAAUCAAAACGGCGCAUGACAUCAAGAUUAUGAUGAAUCAAAUUGAACUCCCAAUACGUUAGUUCAUAAAAAAUGCUUUUCUUCUUCCAAGUAAUCUUAUCAUUUCUUUCAUUUUAUUCAUUCUCCUCUUUUCUCCUCUUUUCAAGUCUUCAAUCUUAUACUCAGUAAGUACAUUACUGAACUGCUUUUUCACCUCAGCUCCAGACAACCGAGAAGGUGCUUGUCCGGUUGUCCCCACUCUCUAGUUUUAUCAGAUGGCACUAUAUUUUCGGAACCUAUGAUUUGUUGGUAAAAAUCGACGGUGACCCACGUGACAAUUUUCUACUAUGUAUCAACCAAUUAGAUCUAGUGUUUUGUUGGCAAACAAGAAAUGCUUAUUUACCUUUAAUACUCCACCCAAACAAGUUGGCAUAUGCUAGAAAGUCGGAGAUAGUCCAUAACAAUGCUGCGUGUGACUUGAACAUUUGAUUAUGUGAUGCAUUAUGCAUCAUUCCAACCAUACUAGCAUCACUACCCGAGUCAUGACUAACCUGUUUCUUAGUUAGAUUUCAAAGAUGAAGAUGGCUCACCCUCCAAUAUCCAGUUUUAAUACUUUAACCAAUAGCCAUUUAUAAUGAUAUGGUCUCUUGCCACUUUCCUUAUAAGGAAAUAUCGAUAUUACGACACUUCUUAGAAGGACAAUAAAUUCUUUUAUCACCAACAACAUUCUCAAAUGCAAAAUCUAUAAAUUUUUUGACCCAUCAGUAUAUGAAUUGGAUAUCUAUUUGGCAAACCAACCCAACUCUGGUCCAUGACUAUGUCCUUUUAAUGCACUAGAAAAAUUAGUUAAAUAAAUCACUUUAAUUCUUCAUUUCUACUACUAAACAAGAUAUUUUCAUGUGUGCGCAGUUUCGCAAUAUAAUAAAAAAAAUUAUUAUACAAUUUUAUGGUUAAUCUCAUUAGAACGUUUAUAUAUAUGGAAGCAAGCAAAGCCACAAGAAUCAGAGAAAAAGAUGUGAAAAUUAAAGUAUAUAUACAACAAUAAUUAAUCUAAAAAACAGUUUGCAAUACCUUCUGUAAAGAAAUAUCCUCACCCACUGCUGAGAACUUCACUUGGCUAUCAAUUACAGAUAUAUAAAGCCUGUUACCUAGAAACAAAAAAUUAGGUCAGCCAGCUAAAACAUAUUUAUAAACCAACAUUGGAGAUAGUACUCCAUUUAUAAACAAAAUUACAAGACUCAAAACCAAGUCGACUCAGCAAAAUCAUAACCGAUUACAUUCAUCCCACUCAGCUCCUCCACUCCCAUCAAUAUAUCCAACAUUCCCUUCAUAUUUACAAAAGGUAAGUGGUCCUAUAUAUCCCACUCAAGAAUGCAUAAGUUUCUUCAAUCUUAAGUAUCUAAAGUUUUCCUCUACGUUUAUAGAAACUUCGGAAGCAUCUCCCUAUAGUUCUUCAAGUACACGACAUAGAUAUAUGAAUGUUUAUGUGUUAUGCCAAAACAACACAUGACACCCAUUUGUCUAGUAUGCACCCAGAGAACAUGAGGAGCAGCUGCUGAAAAACCCAUUUUUACGUGGGAAAAAAAUUUCAGGCACUAGCUGCCAUAGAAAUCUAUGCAUUACCAAACUGUCCAAGCCUAGAUAUUUCAAGAAUUAUUAAUAGACAUAAGAUCCUCACUAUCAUCCAAAAGAUGACACUAAUAAAACAUGUGUCUAUUAAUAAUUUCUUAAAGGAGUUUAAGCUUUCAAUGCAUGUAUCAAAAGUUUAAAAUUGAAUCUGAAACUUGAAUAACACAUAAAAAUCAUAAAUCUCUUCAAUUUAUUCCUAAUAAAAUGUAGCAUUUUUUCACAUUUCAUUUCUUAAGCAAAACCAUAAAAAAUUACAAACAAUAAAUACAUUUUCUAGCACUGAUGCACAUUAUGUUUACUGAGCAAUAAGUUUUAAGUCAUUCAUAUUAAAAUACUUCUUCCUAUUCUAUCAACAAAUAACUAGUACGUACACACAAUUAAUAAAUUAAAUGUAACCUGGUUGUGAAUCUUGCAAAGUCUUCCUAUUUUUUUUUUUUUUUUUUGGUGGGGGGGGGGGGGGAGGGGGGAGGGGGUGGUUAUGCUCAUUUGUGUGUUGUUAACAGAAAUUGAUCCAAAGCCUCAGUUUUAAUUAGCUUCAUUAUAGCCAAUGAUUAGGUGUUUAAAAACCAAUGAAUAUUUUUUAUAAGAAAUCAACAAUAUUGUUGAAAGAAAAACCAAAUAAAAAUAAUAAAGCAAUGCAUAGAUUAAGGCUCUUUAUUAUCUAAUAACUAAUCAAACUAAGUUGUGGGUAAAGGAGAAUAUGUUUGUUUGGCCAAUAAUAAACUCAAGGAAUCACCAAUAAUCACCUAGUUACUAUUCCUUAUGCCAUGCAAUGUAAUGGCGUCGGUAAUGGCGACAAGGCAGGCAAUAACUAGCUAGCUAGUUAUGAUAGUUGCUUAACUUAACCUACUGGAAAUCUGAAGACCAAAAUGAAGAAACUUUGCCUAGAACUAGAAUAGGAAAACAUUCAUACCCAAAACCAAUAUACAUGAUUAAGAAACUUGAUUAUAUGUAUAUUUUUGUUUGCCACACCAAAUCCCACUAUUUCCAUACUCAUAAGCACAAAAAACCAUCGCAAAAAUGAAUGACCAUAUAAAAUAAAAUAGGUCGCAGGACAUUGAGAAUAGGACAAUAUGAUUUAUGUACUGUAAAAUAACUAUAUCUGCAGUCAACUAUAUUUCUGUUAGAACUCUAAAGUUUUCCAUUAAAUUUUUUUCCCUGUUAGGUAAACCACUUAACUGAAACACUUAAGCAAGAUUGACAAUCAUAGACAUAAAAGUAUUAAUAGGCUCAUUCAAGUGAAAUGAGCAUUAUUUCACAUAUCCUUUAGGCUUUUAAGUCAUUUAGAAGUCAUUCAUGUUAAACAAUUUCUUCAUAUACUUUCAAUAUAAUUAGUACAUACACAAUUAAUUAAUUAAAUAAAUCUGUUUCAGCUAGCACAGGAACUUAAGCAAUCAGAGCUAUUAGUUAUAGCUAGGACUUGAAUGAGGCACCUUUCAAAGUUCAAGAGGAGCAUCUGAACAGAAUGAAAGCAGUUUGUAGAAAUGGUAGUGAUGCUUUACAUCUACAUGCUCUUACACAAUAUGAACUUUCAUUUAUUCAAGAACAUAACACUAAUCCAAGCUCUUACUCUACAAGUCAAUUCAGUUUGUAGAUGCAAGCCAUUGUAAAAACUUUUGUGUUAUAAUUUCCGUAAAUGGAACAUGACAUUACUAAUAUAGAAUCAGCAAUGUUAUAUAACUUAUCAGACAAUAUAACAAGCACUUGGCGAGCAUAUAAGAUAAACUAAAACAAGUUAAUUAGAAAAUGAAACUAAAACCCAAGCUCCGCUAUUCAUUGUAGAAGCUUUAAACAUAAAAUUAAACUAAAUCUAAUGCCAAAACAUUAGAAUGGAUGUUGGAAUUAAAGCUAAAUUCAAUAGUAAUCCAAAUGAAUCCAUUUGAACUUUGUAAACUCCGCAGAACAAAAUUAAUUUGAGUGAGCAAACUCACCAAUGGCACAAGAACAGAAGGGCUUCAACUUCUAGGAACAAAAAACAUUGCCGGUGGGACAAAAAUUGACAUUAAUGGCUACAAUACGAAUUAAAGAGAUCAAAACCUAUAAUUACAAGCUAAGAAAGAGAGGAAACUCAUAAUCACAAGCUUACCUGAAACGAAGAGAGAGAAUAAGAUGAAGAAGAAGAUCGCUGCCGUUUUACGCCAUUCUCCGGCUACCAGUAAGGUUUAGGAUGCUGGCCAGGCACGAGAGAGAAUUUGGGACUUUGGUCUUCAAAAUAUUGACUCCAGCAAAUAGUUUUCUAUUUAGAAACAAAUUUAUAACUCUACCGUCACUCUCUACCGUCACGUGGUUAGUAACAUAAGUGAGAGCAGUCUAGCCGUCACAUAAACGGUCACAAAAGCAACUGGCUGUUACAAGUUUAGGAAUGGCAGAUAUUGCCGCGGGGACAUGACCCUCGAGAUUUUCCCAAUUCAGGUGGGUACAUAAUUUUUUACUUAAUUUUUUAUUUGAAAAGGAGACGGAGAUAGUUUUUUUACCUAAUUUCUUAUUCAGAGAAAGAAUGGGGGAUCGGCAGAAUCCCUAUUCUCUUCUAAUUUUUUGAUUUAAUUUUAUUUUUUAAAAUUAUUUGUAAAUAAAUAAUAAAAUAUAAAUAAUAAAAUAUUAAAUAUUAGUAUAAAUAAAAAAAUAAAAUAAUUAUAUUAUUAAAAUUUAGGCCUAAUUGACUACAUUAAUAUUUGGAUGAGAAAGUUAUGCUUAGGAUGAAAGAUUUUAAUAUUUUGAGUUGGUGUAAAAUAAAUGUCUAUAGAUAUCCUAUACUGGCAUGAAUUGCUAGAGAUAUUUUGGCAAUUCUAAUUACAAAUGUUGCUUCUGAAUUAGCUUUUAGCACCAGUGGUAGAGUACCGUAACACGCUUUAUUCAAGCACAUUGGAGGCUUUAAUAUGUUGUCAAAGUUGACUACAAGCUUACAAUGACAGUAUGAGUUUAUUUUACAUUGUAAUUAUAUUAUAUAAUUAUUAAUAUUUUCACUUAGAAUUUACAUUACUUAUAUUAUUUUUGUUGUUUUAAAUUUGAAAUCUGAGGCUAUCUCUCAAUUUGUCACAUUCCUCGAGGAAGAACAAGAAGAGUAGGAGACACAAGAGGUAAAUACUUUUAUUAGAAAUAUUGAUUAAGUAUCUAUAUUCAUUUCAUUUAUCUCAUUGUUGAUAUAAAAGUAAUUUCUUUUUUUUUAUUAUAUGAUUUUGAAGAUUGCCGAAGAUAAUUAUUAUGGUGAUUUAUACUUUGUAAUGUGACUUUUGUAAUAGAUUAAUGUUAAUGUAAGAUAUAUCGUCAAACUUUAUUUUUAUUUUUAUUUUUUAUUUUAAUAUGAUUAAAUUAAAAUUUAAAACUAAAAACGUAUCAGUUAUUCGAGAAUCGAGGACCUUUAAGGAUCCCCUAUUAUUAUUUGGGGAGGGGAGGGGGAUUCCCUAAAGCAAUUUUGUGAAUGGGAAGAGGCCAGGGAUAUAUACAGAAUAUCGAGAAUGGGUACGGGGAGGUCGGUCUCUUCCCCUCCCCUUCCCAUUGCCAUUCCUAACAAAGUUGGCAAUACAUGUACGGGCCGCUUUUGUAAAAUUGCUUUAAGGGUCGUUUGGGAUUGCUUUUGGGAAUAGCAUGCAAGAUAUAUAUAAAAAAUAAAAUCGUAGAAUAACUUUUACCUCUAAUUCGAUUUUUUCUUCUUUUUUGUAAAUUAUUAUGCAUUUAUAUUAAAGUCACUGUGUAUGAUUGGAUUAUUAAAAGUUAUUUGAGAGAAUAUGAAUUGACUUAAUAAGUUAUUACGUGAUUGAUGAUGAUCAGAGCUUACCCAACUGGCAUUAAGUGGAAAAGACUCGAGGAUGACUUUGCAGAGCGAUUUCCCACAACACCUUUUUGGCAGUCUUAAACUACUACAAACAGUGGAUGAUGACUCAACUUGUUUUCCACUUGAUUUACUUGAGAGAUUUCAUAAUCUGGAAACUCUCAUACGGCGUCGUUGUUCAUGCGAAGAGGUAUUUUCGAAUGGAGGAUACUUGAAGAAACAUGUGAGGAAGUUUACAAUGAUAAAACAUUUAGAUCUGCACAAAUUUAAUCAUCUGAAGCAAUUGUGGAAACAAGACUCCAAAUUGGACUCGUUUGUUCAAUGCCUUGAAAUUCUAAAUGUACAUUAUUGUCAAAAUCUGUUAAUUCUUUUGUCUUUGCUGCUAAUUCUUUAAUUCUUUUCGGUUCUUAAGUUUCUCUGUGAUUUGUUCUGGAUUGAUUCUUUUUGCAUCUUGGUUGUUUGAUUUGCGAUCUUGGCGAGUAUUUGGAGUUGAUCAUUAUCGAAUCUGUCACUCCAAACUCUACAGCGACUCUUAUCAAUGUUGGUAUAUGGAUGCAGAGCAAUGAGAGAGGUGGUGAUAAAUGACGAAGAUGGAGCAGCAAAUUUUGAAGAAGAGAUUGUUUUCACCAAAUUGAAGAUUUUGUAUCUGUAUGAUUUGGAUAGUCUCACAAGUUUCUGCUCUGCCAAUUACACCUUCAAAUUCCCAUCUUUGGAAGAUUUAUCUAUAAUUGGUUGUCCCAAGAUGAAGAUUUUCACUAAAGGAGAAUUAAACGCGCCUCUCAGAGUAAACUUCUACUAUGGAGAGAGAGACGAUCAACAGCCUUGGGCUAAUAAUGAUCUUAACACAAUCAUACAGCAUUUACAUGCUGAGAAGGUACGAAUAACUCACUAUCACCAGUGGAAAAAUUUUAUAAAAUUUCUCUUUUAAAUAAAAUGCACCAAAUAGAUCAGAUAUUUGUUAUAAAGUAAGUUUAUGAUCACGUACUGGCAGAUGGGAUACAUAUGUGCUUCAUUCUUGAAACUCUACCCUAUUUAAAAUUGAUAUUUUCACAAGAGUUAGAGAAUCCUAUUCAUUCAAUUAUCCAAAAUCAGAGAAUCUUAUUCAUUCAAUUACAAAAUUUCGUUAAUCGUUAGUUUUUAACUUCAUUACUGUAUGGAAGUCCUGUCAAAUUAAAUUGCUGUUGUUAAAUUUAUUAAAUCUCUUGCUUCCCUGCAAAUCUCUGCGUGCUUUACUUUUAAUUGAAACUAAUGAAUGAAAAUUUUACUUUCAGCUGUUGGAGGGGUCCUCAUCUUAUUCAAUGAUGUAUAUGUCCUAAUGGCAUUGGCCUUUUACUUUAAUUACAAGCGAGUUGUGAAUUUGAAAAACAAAGUCCCAGGUAAUUCAAUUUCAUUUCAUUUUAUUUUAUUUCUUGGCUUGUUUUAUCGCUUCAUCUAAAUUGUUUGGAAUACACCACUAGUUUAUUUUUACUUUUAGAAUGAGUUUUAAUGUUUUGUUCUGAGAUUUAUAUGCUGAUUUUAUAUCAUUAAAGGUCUUAGUGACUUAGUUUGGUCUUCACUUAUUUAUUUAUUUAUUUUUUUGACGUCGUGGCUUUAUAAUGUGUUUUUUUUUUUAAUUUUGAAUUUUAUAAUUCCUUGAAAAUGUCAUUGAAAGGGCCAGCACUUUUAUGUGGAAACCAUCUCAUCCUCCUUAUUUCAAACUAUUAAACAACCAAAUGUAUCCUAACAUAUAUGUUUAGAAUCAAUCUACUCAUUAAGAUAUAUGGUAAUGGUGUCAUCUGUUUGCUAUAGUUUGAUUACAAGAGAACUUUUCCAUUUGUUAGUUGCCAUCUUUGUUGAUCUGUUAAUUCAGUCUUCUUCUGUUUGUCCUGUUUAUCUGUUUAUUUCAACCUUUCUUUCAAAACUUAGAAGGUAUGGAAAGAGCAAGUACUUAGAAAUUGCGAGAAUUAUAUCAAAUCAUGCAUAUAUGCCCCUGCCUAUGAACUCUUAGGAACAAUCGAAUAUCUUUCCUUGAAUAGCAUAAAACAAAAUCUACAGAUCAUUAAACCAUCAAAAGUUAGCUAUGAACAACUAUAUAAAAAUCAUUUGUUUCUCACCUUUUCGUGAGUCUGAGAAGUUGUAAAUUCUACUGAGUUUCUCACCUUUUUUUUUUUUUGGACAAUUGGAGUUUUUAGUUUAUGAAACUUAAUGCCUAUAUUUCUCACAUUGUAAAAGUGUUUUGAAAAGAUGGUUUAUAUUGCACCAUAAAAAUGUGGUCUGAUAAACCAACAGGGGAGUAGUUUGAUCCAGUUACGUGAAAUGCAUGCAAAAUAAUAUUUUCUCUAUAGUUACUGAAGAGAAUUUUGGUCACUUUGGUGUGCAUUAUCUGGAAUAAAGUCGUUUUCCAGUUUCUUCAAAGUUUAUGUGCGGAGGACUUCCGGUUUCCAUCUCAAGUUCAAAUACUAAUAAAGAUGAGUAAAUUCAUCAUCCGUGUGUCUGCUCUUUCUAUGCAUUUUGACAUUUUUUAUUAAUGCGUCUUUAACAGUAGUUUUUUUUCACAGAAAAAAUUGUCAGUAUUUUGUGUCAAAUAAAAAAUUAAAAAAUAUAUAUGUAUUUUGGGCGAAACUUUUUGCGAAAAAUAAUGAGUGCCAACACUUUAUAACUUAAUAUGUAUUUUGGGCUUGGCGAAGUUACGGUUCAUGUAACUAAUCAAUUUAAUCAUUACCGGAUAAAAUUGAAUACACCAGUAGUGUUUUUCCACGGAGAUAUUGCCAAAUUUUGUGUCAAAUAAAGAAUAAAAACCAUAAAUACCAGUAGUGUCCGAUUUUGAAAGCAAAGCAGCAUACAUAUUAACUACUAGGCUUUGAUGGUGGUUGCAGUAAAAAGGAUUAAAAGAGAGAGAGAGAGAGAACUUGAAAACUAUGGAAUGGAAGAUAAAUCAAAGUUAUAAAUUUGGACUCAAUAGUUUUGAUGUUCAAUCAAAUAUGGAGGGGCGAUUAGAAAUUAUCAAAAAUUUAGAGGGAUUUCAACCGUUCAAUUCAUUAUUAGGCGUUGUAGACUGCAGGGAUGCAGAAAUUUCCACAGGGACGAUGGCCCCGAGGGAUCUUCCUCAUUCGGGAGUUUGAUAAUUUUAGAUCUAAUUUUUCUAUGUGGAGACAAGACUGUGAUCAAUUAAUAUGUGUGGGUGUAAGUUACAUGAAAUAUAACUUAGUGUUUGCCCUAAUAUUUUAUUUGGCUCCACAUUUUUCUAUUUCUAUCUUUAGUUCUAUUUUUAAUUAAUUUAUUUCAAAUUUAUAGUAAAUACAUUUAAAAUUUCAAUUAUAAUAGUGUGAUGUAAAUAAAAAAUAUCACAAUACAUUUAUAAAAAUAAUAUAAAUAACAGCCAAUAUAAAGUAAAUAUAAACAUUUUAAAAUUGACAAAGAUAAUUUAAUUGAUGGUUUAUACUAUAUGACAUUUAUGGAUGAGUUCAACUUUGAAGAUUUACUUUUGCUUAAUUAGUUCAAAGAUUAUCUUCUAAUUUGAUGACAUUGACUUAAUUUGAUGGAAAUGAUUUUAAUCACUUUAGUUAAUUUGAUAUUUUUUGUGUUAAUAUGAUUUUAUAUUUUUACUUUAAGAUGAUUAAAUUAAGAAAAAAAAGAAAUUAAAUAAUCAGAGAUCGGAUAGCAUCGGAGAUCCCUUUGUAUUAUUUAGAAACAUCCAUCCCCUUCUUUCAAGUGAUUUUGAAGGAAAUGUCUAGAGUACAAAGAGAUAGACAGAGUAUUAAAGAUGAGUAUGGGGAAAUCAAUCCCCUCUCCUUCCCUUCUUAUUGACAUCUUUACAUGUGAGCCCAAGGGGAAAUGCACCAUGCCUGAUAAAAGUAAAAUUAAAAAUAAAAAUUUUCUUUUAUCAAAUCACUCUAUGUGGUGGAGAUUAUUGUAUAAUCAAGUACACAUGGCAUUUUUAAAAGCUUUUUCUUUAUUUAAAGCUCUAAAGGUUUGCCUAAGAGUCAAGGUUGGUGCCGUUCUUCUAGAAGAACAACCCGUAUCUUUUGAUAUUCAAAGUUUGAAUAUCAAGUUCAAACUUUAAAUUUUGAAAUAAUAAUAAUAAUAAAUAUAAAAAGUGCCAAAUUUUUAGCUAUAAAUAGAGGGGUUCACCCCCUCAUUUCACUCAUUCCAUUCUUUUCUUCUUUAGUUCUAUAAUGAGAGAGUAAGAGUUUUAUACUCUUGAGUGACUAGUGUUUAGAGAGAUUGGGUGUAUUAAGGUUUUGAUAAGUGAAACAAAAUACUAAAAUACUUAUAAUUCUCAUUUCACUAGUAAAGUUUUAUCCUUUUGUCCUUGCCUAUGGGCAUAAGUUAAAAGCCGAACCAAAUAAUUUAUGGUGUCCUCUGUGUGCUUGUUCUUCAUUUUCUUCCAAUUUCAUUUUAGUCGUGGCCCUACUUCACCAAUCAAUUUUCUAAUAGUGGUAUUAGAGCCGGGUUGUAUUUUUUGGGGUCGAGAUACUAUUUACAUAUAUUGUAUUGUUCAUGUAUAUGAUAUUGUUUCUGUAUACGACACUUUAUUCAUAUAUACAGUUACUGCUCAUGUGAAAUGGUAGGAAUCGAUCUUAGCAAAGGUAGCUCGUGGUGAAAAGUGAUGGCGGAAAAAUACAAAAUUGAGAAGUUCAACAGAAAUAAUUUUUCGUCAUGAAAAAUGAAGAUGAAGGUUGUAUUGAGGAAAAGUAAUUGCUUGGCAGCAAUUGAAGAGAGGCUCACAAAGAUAACUAAUGAUGGCAAGUGGAAUGAGAUAGACAAUAAUGCCAUUGCAUAUCUACACUUACCACUUUCAGAUAGGGUAUUUUUCAAUAUGGUAGAGUAAAAGAGAGUAAAGGAAAUAUGGUUUACUCUCACAAGACUAUACGAGGUCAAAUCACUACAAAAUAAAAUCUUCUUAAAGAUGAGGCUUUAUACUCUUCAAAUGGAGGAAUCUACAUCAGUGAUCGACCAUAUCAACACUUUAAAGACUUUAUUUUCAUAACUUACAACGUUGGGUCAUAAAAUAGAGGAAAAUAAACAUAUAGAGCUUUUACUUCAAGGUUUACCAGAUUCGUAUGAUCAAUUCGUCAUUAAUAUAACUAAUAACAAUCGAGCAAACAAGUUAGUCUUUGACAAUAUGGCAGCCUCCGUAUUAAAUGAGGAGAGUAGCAAAAAAUAAAAAAGAUAGACAGAAGAGUUCGCAACAAGUAGAAGCGCUAUUGGUGAUGAAAGGAAGAUCCAUGGAACGUGGCCCUAGUGAGAGCCACAGUCACGGUAGAUCAAAAUCUAGAAGUAAAAAGAAUGUCAAAUGCAACAACUGUUGCAAGAAAGGGCAUGUCAAGGAAGAGUUUUGGAACAACUAGAAGAGAAGAGAUGGUAAAGAUUCUGAGUCAUCAAAUGCUCAAGGGUAUGUAGUAAGUACCUCGUAUGAUGGCAAAAUUCUCUACAGUAAGGCAACAACUGCUUCAGAAGAUAGAAAACCACUAUAUGACAUCUGGCUUAUAGACUUAAUAGUUGCCUGGCACAUGAUCUCUCCAAGAGAAUGAUUUCACAAAUAUGAACCUAUUUCAAGAGAAUUUGUAUACAUAGGUGAUGAUUAUGCCUUUGAGAUUACUGAUAUUGGUACUGUCAAAAUAAAUAUGUUUAAUGGUAUGGUUCGCACAAUUGAGAAGGUAAGACAUGUCAAAGACUUGAAAAAUAUCUCUUGUCUUUAGGACAAAUAGAUAGUCUUACGCGCAAAACUCAUGUAGAAAAUGGGAUCAUAAAGAUAGUCAAAGGCGCACUUGCAUUAAUGAAGGUGGAAAAGAUCGGUGAUAAUUUAUUCAUGCUUAAAGGGAAACACUACAGAAAGCUUUUGUGUCAGUCACAUCAAAUAGAGAAAAUUCAGUGAUGAUGUGGCAUCUUAAACUUGGCCACAUGUCAAAACAAGGAAGCAACAUAGAUGAAAGUUUAGCAGAUCCACUUUCAAAAGUAAAUGUAUUUUAGACUUGAUUCAUUCUAAUGUUUGGGAAUCAAUUGAUAUAUCUAUGGGAGGUGCAAAGUACUUGGUGACUUUUAUUAAUGAUUAUUCUAGGAGAUAUUUGGUGUAUCCAAUCAAGAAAAGGUCAAAUGUAUUUCCAUUGUUCAAAGAAUUCAAAGCGUAGAUUGAACUUAAAUCAGGGCAAGGGAUCAAGUGCCUGAGGACAGACAAUGGUGGAGAGUAUACAAAUAGCAUGUUUCUUGCAUAUGUAAGCAAGAAAGUAUCUAGAGAUAGUUCACGGUGGCAUACACUCCUCAAUAAAAUAGAGUAGUAGAGUGAAAGGGCAUGACUCUUAUAAAAAAAAAAAGAGUUAUGUUGAGAAAUGCUGGUCUACCAACUCAUUCUAGGUGGAAGUAGCAAAAACUACUUAUUAUGUGGUAAGUGGGUCAUCAUUCAAUGCAACCGGGUUGAAAAUUCCAAUGGAAAAAAUAGACAGGAAAGCCAGUUGAUUACUCUCAUCUCAGGCAUUUUGAUGUCCUUUUACGUGAUAUACAAUACCCAAGUGAGAUUAAAGAUGGAUCCAAAAUCCAAGAGAUGUAUCUUCUUAGGAUAUAUUGAUGGAGUGAAAGGGUAUUAUCUGUGGGACCUCAAUGCCCAUAAGAUCGUUAUCAGUAGAGAUAUUAUCUUUGUAGAAGAUCAAAUGCAAAAGAGAGAUAUGGAUGAUAGCACUAUAAAAAUUCAGAGAUUGUGCUAAUAUAUGUUGAAAAUAAUCUGGAAAAUGAAGAUUUAGAUUUUUUUGAAGCAGCACCAAAGUAUGAGAACAAGAACCAAUCGAGUCUGAGGCCCCAAAAGUUUGUUGGUCAACUCGUGAUAGAUAAUUGUCAGUGUGGCAUUUGGAUUAUGUCACAGAUAUCAAUUUUGCAUACUGUCUUUUAAUAGAGAAUGGAAAGCCAUCAACUUUUCAUGAAACCUUAAACAGCUCAGAUGUUACUUUGUGAAUGAUAGCAAUGCAGGAAGAAAUUAAGGCUCUACACAAGAAUAUGACAUAGGAACUCGUACUACUACUAUAUGAAAAAAAAAAGACCCAUUGGUUGGAAAUGGGUCCAUAAGAUCAAACGUGAUGGUAAUAACCUAGUGGAGCGGUAUCAUGAAAGAUUGGUGAUGGAAGAAUAUCCUUAGAAAGAAUGUAUUAACUUCAAUGAGAUAUUUUCUCCAGUGAUUUGACUCAGGACAGUCAGAGUGGUCUUGUCGAUGUGUGCUACAUUUGACCUAUAUUUGGAGCAGUUAGAUGUGAAAAUUUCAUUUCUUUAUGGAGAACUUGAAGAAAAGAUUUCUAUGCUCUAACUAGAAGGUUUUACUAAAAAGGGACACUUGGUUUGCAAGUUAAACAAAUCUCUAUACGAUCUCAAACAUGCACCGAGAUGUUGAUAUAAGAGAUUUGAUCCAUUCAUCAUAAACCUUGGAUACAAUAGAAUCAGUUCAGACUGUUGUACAUAUUACAACAAGUUUGAUAAUAAUAAUUUCAUCAUUCUACUGUGGUAUGUUGAUGACAUAUUAGUAGCAGGCCCCAACAAAGAUCGAGUCCAAGAACUAAAGCACAGUUAACUAGGGAGUUUGAAAUAAAAGACUUAGAACCAGCAAACAAGAUUUUAGGGAUGCAAAUUCACCGAGAUAGUAAUAGCAAAAAGAUUUGGCUUUCUACCCCGCCUCCCAUUAAUUUCAAGUUAUUCUUAAGUAUUCAUCUAGUAAUGAAGUAGAGAAGAAGAGAUGUCUUGAGUACUGUAUGCAUCAGCAGUGGAAAAUUUAAGGUUCGCUAUGAUUUGUACAAGUAGUGGGAGAGGUUAGUCGAUACAUAGCGAAUCCUUGCAAAGAACAUUGGAAGACUAUUAAGAGGAUUCUGAGAUAUAUCAUAGGAACAUCAGAUGUUGCAUUAUGUUACGAAGGAUACUGUCAAGGGCCAUGUGCAUUCAGAUUUUGCAGAAAAUCUUAAUAAAAAAAAAUCCACUACUGGCUAAGUAUUUGCACCAGAAUGAGAAAUUGUUAGUUGGAUUUCAAAAUUGCAGACCAUUGUGGCUUUAUCAACAACAGAAGCAGAUUACAUAGCAGCUACACAAGCUUGGAUGAGCUAUUUAGAUACAAAGGUUACUGAAGGAGCUUGGGCAUAAAAUUUUUUAUGGCUUGUGAUAGUUAGAAUGCAAGGAAUCCAACCUUUUAUUUUAGGACAAAGAAUAUAGGAGUACAAUAUCACUUCUUCGUGAAGUAGUGAAAGAUAUAAGAGUGGAUACCAAGGAGAACUUAACAAAUGUUUUGCCCAAGCCUAUCAAUGCUGAUAAAUUUGUUUGGAGUAGAUCAUUUUACGGCCUAGUAGAGACAUAAACAACAUGACAGCGGCGAAGUAGAAAGGAUGGUGUGGAGAUUGAUUGAUUCUCAAUCAAAUUUCUAAGUGGGAGAAUAUCAAAGUCAAUGUCGCUUUUCUAGAAGAGCGACCAAUACCUUUUGAUAUUCAAAGUUUGAAUGUCAAGUUCAAACUUUGAAUUUAAUAUAUAUAUAUAUAUAUAUAUAUAUAUAUAUAUAUAUAUAUAUAUAUAUAUAUAUAUAAAUAGUGCCCAAAAUUUUAACUAUAAAUGAGGGGUUCACCCCUGCAUUUCAUUCUUUUCUUCUUCAAUUCUAGUGUGAGAGACUAAGAGUUUUAAUGCUCUUGAGUGAUUAGUGUUUUAAGAGAUUGAGUGGAUUGGGGUUCUGGGAAGUGAAACAAAAUAUUAUAAUACUAGUAAUCCUCAUUUCACCACUAAAGUUUUAUCUUUUGUCUUUACCCAUAGACGUAGGUUAAAAGUCGAACCACGUAAUUUUUAGUGUCCUCUGUGUGCUUGCUCUUCAUUUUCUUCCAAUUUUAUUUUAGCUAUGGACCUACUUCACCAGUAAAUUGAAGACGUUGGAACUGCGUGAUUUAGAUAGCCUCACAAGUUUCUGCUCUACCAAUUACACCUUCAAAUUCCCAUCUUUGCAAGAGUUAUGUGUGAUUGGUUGUCCCAAGAUGAAGAUUUUCACUACAGGAGAAUCAAUCACGCCGAGUAAACGUCUGCUAUGGAGAGACAGCGGAUCAACGGCGCUGGGCUAAUAAUGAUCUAAACACAACCAUACAACAAUUACAUGCUGAGAAGGUACGUAUAUACAUAUUACUCUCUAUCUCCCAUGAUAAAUUUUUACAAAAUUUGCUUUCUUAAAUACAAUAUAGAUAAGAUAUUUGAUGAAUAAGAAUUUUAUUUUAAGCUGUUGGCGGUGUCGUCGUCAUACUCUACGCAGUAGUACGACUAAUGUCAUAGGCUUCUUAUGACCUGGAGUUGCGAAUUUUUAGAAGAAAGUCUCAACUGGUAAUUAAUUUUUAUUUCAUUUAUUUAAUCCCAUGGCUUGUUUCGCAAUUUCAUCUGAAUUAUUUAGAAUGGGUCCCUCGGUUUACUGUUAAAUUUGCAAUGCAAUUUUAAUGAUCCUUUCAGACUUUUAUGGACAGAUUUUGCAAAAUUGAAUGUCUUUUAGUCUAGUUUAAUUUGAGUUUUUCUUUUUUUUUUUAGAGCUCCCCAUGUUUUCUAAAAUUUUAUAAUUCCUUGCAUACUUUUUAGGAUAAAAUUUCAUUAAAAGCCUUCAUAUUUUAUAAUUCCUUGAAAACUUGCAUACUUUUUCCUUUUUUUUUCUUGCCAAUUAUUUAUUGUCAUCAUUGCUGUUCUUUUAUUUUAGUUUGUGCUCUGUUUGUUCAUUGGGUUUGCUUUUCGGAAAGUUAGAAGGCAAGGAAAGUACUUAGAAAAUGUUCUUCCCUAUGAACACAUAAUUAACAGCUGAAUAUCAUUCAUUGGAUUAAAAAAAAUUAAAAUAAAAAAAAGUAAUAAGCCCAUUAUUCCUAGAACAAAUCCUUAAACCAUCAAACGUUAGCUAUGAACAAGUAUAUUGGUCUAUAGCAUAUUCAUAAUAUUUUCUCUGCUGUUCCUGUUAAAAUUUCUCUACUCAAUGAUCGCAGAAUAUCUGGAUACUGAUGAAGAUUUAAGUCACUCUUCUUCUAUGAAUAAGGUCGUUUUUCUUUUUUCUUCUAUUCAAAGUUUCCAUUCUGAGCAGUUCCCAUUUCCAUCUUCGUGAUCUUCUUGUGAUAGUGUGAGUUACAACCUGUCUGUUUCCUUUGUUUGAUCAUUGCAAGUUCAAAGACAUUUUAUUCUAGCUAAGCUCUUUGUAUGUAUUAUAACAUUUUUAUUCUCAAUAUAUAUAUGACUCAAUGAGAG
rnacentral:lncRNA from 1 species